rnacentral:rRNA from 1 species
UGGGGAAUCUUGGACAAUGGGGGCAACCCUGAUCCAGCGACGCCGCGUGGGUGGUAAGGCCUUCGGGUUGUAAGGCCCUUUCAGCGGGGAAGAUGAUGACAUUACCCGCAGAAGAAGCGCCGGCUAACUCCGUGCCAGCAGCCGCGGUAAUACGGAGGAUGCAAGCGUUAUCCGGAAUAAUUGGGCGUAAAGCGUUCGUAGGUGGUUUUGUAAGUCUGCUGUUAAAGCGUGUAGCUCAACUACAUAUAGGCAGUGGAAACUACAAAACUUGAGUGCGUUCGGGGCAGAGGGAAUUCCUAGUGUAGCGGUGAAAUGCGUAGAGAUUAGGAAGAACACCGGUGGCGAAAGCGCUCUGCUAGGCCGCAACUGACACUGAGGGACGAAAGCUAGGGGAGCGAAUGGGAUUAGAUACCCCGGUAGUCC